AAUUCCACAUCACCUCCUU
rnacentral:snRNA from 1 species